rnacentral:rRNA from 1 species
CCUAAUACAUGCAAGUCGAGCGAGCGGAACCAACAGAUUUACUUCGGUAAUGACGUUGGGAAAGCGAGCGGCGGAUGGGUGAGUAACACGUGGGGAACCUGCCCCUAAGUCUGGGAUACCAUUUGGAAACAGGUGCUAAUACCGGAUAAUAAAGCAGAUCGCAUGAUCAGCUUUUGAAAGGCGGCGUAAGCUGUCGCUAAGGGAUGGCCCCGCGGUGCAUUAGCUAGUUGGUAAGGUAACGGCUUACCAAGGCGACGAUGCAUAGCCGAGUUGAGAGACUGAUCGGCCACAUUGGGACUGAGACACGGCCCAAACUCCUACGGGAGGCAGCAGUAGGGAAUCUUCCACAAUGGACGCAAGUCUGAUGGAGCAACGCCGCGUGAGUGAAGAAGGUUUUCGGAUCGUAAAGCUCUGUUGUUGGUGAAGAAGGAUAGAGGUAGUAACUGGCCUUUAUUUGACGGUAAUCAACCAGAAAGUCACGGCUAACUACGUGCCAGCAGCCGCGGUAAUACGUGGGUGGCAAGCGUUGUCCGGAUUUAUUGGGCGUAAAGCGAGCGCAGGCGGAAAAAUAAGUCUAAUGUGAAAGCCCUCGGCUUAACCGAGGAACUGCAUCGGAAACUGUUUUUCUUGAGUGCAGAAGAGGAGAGUGGAACUCCAUGUGUAGCGGUGGAAUGCGUAGAUAUAUGGAAGAACACCAGUGGCGAAGGCGGC